UGAGGAAUAUUGGUCAAUGGACGAGAGUCUGAACCAGCCAAGUAGCGUGAAGGAUGACUGCCCUAUGGGUUGUAAACUUCUUUUAUAUGGGAAUAAAGUAUUCCACGUGUGGGAUUUUGUAUGUACCAUAUGAAUAAGGACCGGCUAACUCCGUGCCAGCAGCCGCGGUAAUACGGAGGAUCCGAGCGUUAUCCGGAUUUAUUGGGUUUAAAGGGAGCGUAGGUGGAUUGUUAAGUCAGUUGUGAAAGUUUGCGGCUCAACCGUAAAAUUGCAGUUGAAACUGGCAGUCUUGAGUACAGUAGAGGUGGGCGGAAUUCGUGGUGUAGCGGUGAAAUGCUUAGAUAUCACGAAGAACUCCGAUUGCGAAGGCAGCUCACUAGACUGCAACUGACACUGAUGCUCGAAAGUGUGGGUAUCAAACAGGAUUAGAUACCCUGGUAGUCCACACAGUAAACGAUGAAUACUCGCUGUUUGCGAUAUACAGUAAGCGGCCAAGCGAAAGCAUUAAGUAUUCCACCUGGGGAGUACGCCGGCAACGGUGAAACUCAAAGGAAUUGACGGGGGCCCGCACAAGCGGAGGAACAUGUGGUUUAAUUCGAUGAUACGCGAGGAACCUUACCCGGGCUUGAAUUGCAACUGAAUGAUGUGGAGACAUGUCAGCCGCAAGGCAGUUGUGAAGGUGCUGCAUGGUUGUCGUCAGCUCGUGCCGUGAGGUGUCGGCUUAAGUGCCAUAACGAGCGCAACCCUUAUCGAUAGUUACCAUCAGGUUAUGCUGGGGACUCUGUCGAGACUGCCGUCGUAAGAUGUGAGGAAGGUGGGGAUGACGUCAAAUCAGCACGGCCCUUACGUCCGGGGCUACACACGUGUUACAAUGGGGGGUACAGAAGGCAGCUACACGGCGACGUGAUGCUAAUCCCGAAAGCCUCUCUCAGUUCGGAUUGGAGUCUGCAACCCGACUCCAUGAAGCUGGAUUCGCUAGUAAUCGCGCAUCAGCCACGGCGCGGUGAAUACGUUCCC
rnacentral:rRNA from 1 species